rfam:Pristionchus pacificus strain PS312 contig13275, whole genome shotgun sequence.
UCUUCAUUCCUCAUACUCUCUCACCGGUCAGAAUGACGAGAGAGCACGGAGAAUGAAGAGA